AGAAAGAAAAGACAGAAAGACUGGUACAAUCAUUUUAAAGGUUUUCUGCUUUUCUGUUCAUGUUCUUUUCAGGAAAUGAGACUGACUAUAUAUGGGAUGGGAAUAAAACCACAUAUCACAAGCCACUGUCGAGUUCAUAAAGUGACUGCAUUGAAAAAGUAGUGAAAAAUGUGUUCUUACUAGUGCCUUCCUAGCCCAUAGGAAUCCUGGCUGUGGCUUGCAAUUGUAGUAGGGUGAAGAUUUGCAUUUUCAAGUUGGCGGUUUUCCUUUUUACUCUUCCACUUCCUACAAGCUAAUUUGGUGCUGUGUUAAUUGUGAAUCUGGAAUGCAAAUCAACUCACCUGCUUGUUUUUCUUUCAUUUUCAGGUUUUCUAACUAUGGAAGCUGUCCUGAGGAGCUGCAUCACGCGCUGCUGCCCCCAGGAUGGGAUGCAGAGGACAGCUGAUAUUUCCUGUUAGAGAUGCUUUGUAUGCAAAUCAAGGUGGUACAACAAAAAAAAGUCCUGAAAGCAAUCACACUGAUAAACUCAGACCACCGGGGAAUUCCUGCCUAUCAUUUUUUAUCUUUUCUUUUUUUCAGUUCUGUACAAGAUACUGCUCUUUCUUACAGUCUUUCAUGUUUGUCCUGCCAAACCUUUUGCUUAUGAACUACAGCGCUUCUUGCAUUUUGCAGGGCUCCGUGUCAGUCUGCAUGAAUAAAAGGCAGAAUGGAUGAUGCCUAAUGCCAGCCCUGAUUUAACAAACAUCUGAGGACCAGCUCAUCCCUGCAGCAUAGCCAACAACUGUCUCUUCUCUGUUCCCUGUGGGAAUUGUGCACCAUGGGAUCCUGCAACGAGGUGAAGAUGGAAGGAAGGCUCGUAAGGCAGCAUAUGUGCUCUUGUUAGUGGCCAGAUACUCCAUCUGCAAGCCACCAAACCUGGGGCUGCAG